CCCCAGGAUGCUGCACAGAGUGCAGGAUGCACCUCCUUAAAACGCUGCCUUGUUUGAAGGGAGAAAAUGGAGAGAAAGAAGGAGAAGAAAAGCACAUAUGUCAUUGCUGCAAAGCAGUGGAAUCUCCCAGGUGCUCUGUUGAAGCCUGCACUUAACCCAUUGCAGAUAUCUACAGAUAUCAGAUUGAAGUGUCUGCGGUGUUGUUGCUCACACAAAGGGCCACCUCAGAACAGUGCUCAGAGGUCCACAGGUGCUGAGGCUUGCCCUUGGGACUGUGAGGGC